CUUUUGUGGGGUGCUCGAGUGGCGAACGGGUGAGUAACACGUGAGUAACCUGCCCUUGACUUUGGGAUAACUUCAGGAAACUGGGGCUAAUACCGGAUAGGAGCUCCUGCUGCAUGGUGGGGGUUGGAAAGUUUCGGCGGUUGGGGAUGGACUCGCGGCUUAUCAGCUUGUUGGUGGGGUGGUGGCUUACCAAGGCUUUGACGGGUAGCCGGCCUGAGAGGGUGACCCGCCACAUUGGGACUGAGAUACGGCCCAG
rnacentral:rRNA from 1 species